rnacentral:tRNA from 1 species
AUCAUUUUGGUGUAGUGGUUAGCAAGUUGGAUUGCUAAGUCAAAGGUUGAUGGUUCGAACCUGACAGGCGUCG